GAGUUUGAUUCAUGGCUCAGAUUGAACGCUGGCGGCAUGCCUUACACAUGCAAGUCGAACGGCAGCACGGGAGCUUGCUCCUGGUGGCGAGUGGCGAACGGGUGAGUAAUGCAUCGGAACGUAUCCUGGAGUGGGGGAUAACGUAGCGAAAGUUACGCUAAUACCGCAUAUUCUGUGAGCAGGAAAGCGGGGGACCUUCGGGCCUCGCGCUCUUGGAGCGGCCGAUGUCGGAUUAGCUAGUUGGUGAGGUAAAGGCUCACCAAGGCGACGAUCCGUAGCAGGUCUGAGAGGAUGAUCUGCCACACUGGAACUGAGACACGGUCCAGACUCCUACGGGAGGCAGCAGUGGGGAAUUUUGGACAAUGGGGGCAACCCUGAUCCAGCCAUGCCGCGUGAGUGAAGAAGGCCUCGGUUGUAAG
rnacentral:rRNA from 1 species